AGUGAACGCUGGCGGUAGGCCUAACACAUGCAAGUCGAACGGCAGCACAGUAAGAGCUUGCUCUUACGGGUGGCGAGUGGCGGACGGGUGAGGAAUACAUCGGAAUCUACUUUUUCGGGGGGGAUAACGUAGGGAAACUUACGCUAAUACCGCAUACGACCUACGGGUGAAAGCAGGGGAUCUUCGGACCUUGCGCGAUUGAAUGAGCCGAUGUCGGAUUAGCUAGUUGGCGGGGUAAAGGCCCACCAAGGCGACGAUCCGUAGCUGAUCUGAGAGGAUGAUCAGCCACACUGGAACUGAGACACGGUCCAGACUCCUACGGGAGGCAGCAGUGGGGAAUCUUCGACAAUGGGCGAAAGCCUGAUCCAGCCAUACCGCGUGGGUGAAGAAGGCCUUCGGGUUGUAAAGCUCUUUUGUUGGGAAAGAAAAGCAGCAGGUUAAUACCCCGCUGUUCUGACGGUACCCAAAGAAUAAGCACCGGCUAACUUCGUG
rnacentral:rRNA from 1 species